GGGCUAGUGGUUUAGUCGCAUAACGUCUCCUUGACGUGGAGAAGGUCGAGAGUUCAAUCCUCUCCUGGCCCACCA
rnacentral:tRNA from 1 species